GAUGAACGCUAGCGGCAGGCUUAAUACAUGCAAGUCGAGGGGCAGCGCAGUGUAGCAAUACAUGGGCGGCGACCGGCAAACGGGUGCGGAACACGUACAGAACCUUCCUUCGAGCGGGGAAUAGCCCAGAGAAAUUUGGAUUAAUACCCCAUAGUACAAUGGAGUGGCAUCACUUUGUUGUUAAAGAUUUAUCACUUGAAGAUGGCUGUGCGGCUGAUUAGGUAGUUGGCGGGGUAACGGCCCACCAAGCCUGCGAUCAGUAACUGGUGUGAGAGCACGACCAGUCACACGGGCACUGAGACACGGGCCCGACUCCUACGGGAGGCUG
rnacentral:rRNA from 1 species